CGAGCGAACUGAUUAGAAGCUUGCUUCUAUGACGUUAGCGGCGGACGGGUGAGUAACACGUGGGCAACCUGCCUGUAAGACUGGGAUAACUUCGGGAAACCGAAGCUAAUACCGGAUAGGAUCUUCUCCUUCAUGGGAGAUGAUUGAAAGAUGGUUUCGGCUAUCACUUACAGAUGGGCCCGCGGUGCAUUAGCUAGUUGGUGAGGUAACGGCUCACCAAGGCCACGAUGCAUAGCCGACCUGAGAGGGUGAUCGGCCACACUGGGACUGAGACACGGCCCAGACUCCUACGGGAGGCAGCAGUAGGGAAUCUUCCGCAAUGGACGAAAGUCUGACGGAGCAACGCCGCGUGAGUGAUGAAGGCUUUCGGGUCGUAAAACUCUGUUGUUAGGGAAGAACAAGUACAAGAGUAACUGCUUGUACCUUGACGGUACCUAACCAGAAAGCCACGGCUAACUACGUGCCAGCAGCCGCGGUAAUACGUAGGUGGCAAGCGUUAUCCGGAAUUAUUGGGCGUAAAGCGCGCGCAGGCGGUUUCUUAAGUCUGAUGUGAAAGCCCACGGCUCAACCGUGGAGGGUCAUUGGAAACUGGGGAACUUGAGUGCAGAAGAGAAAAGCGGAAUUCCACGUGUAGCGGUGAAAUGCGUAGAGAUGUGGAGGAACACCAGUGGCGAAGGCGGCUUUUUGGUCUGUAACUGACGCUGAGGCGCGAAAGCGUGGG
rnacentral:rRNA from 1 species